rnacentral:rRNA from 1 species
GACGAACGCUGGCGGCGUGCUUAACACAUGCAAGUCGAACGGAAAGGCCCCUUUGGGGGUACUCGAGUGGCGAACGGGUGAGUAACACGUGAGUAACCUGCCCUUGACUUCGGGAUAACUUCAGGAAACUGGGGCUAAUACCGGAUAGGAAUCCUUGCUGCAUGGUGGGGGUUGGAAAGCUUCGGCGGUUUUGGAUGGACUCGCGGCUUAUCAGCUUGUUGGUGGGGUAGUGGCUUACCAAGGCUUUGACGGGUAGCCGGCCUGAGAGGGCGACCGGCCACAUUGGGACUGAGAUACGGCCCAGACUCCUACGGGAGGCAGCAGUGGGGAAUAUUGCACAAUGGGCGGAAGCCUGAUGCAGCAACGCCGCGUGCGGGAUGACGGGCUUCGGGUUGUAAACCGCUUUCAGCAGGGGCGAAGCUUGUGGUGACGGUACCUGCAGAAGAAGCACCGGCUAACUACGUG